GAAAUGCGAUAAGUAAUGUGAAUUGCAGAAUUCAGUGAAUCAUCGAAUCUUUGAACGCACCUUGCGCUCCUUGGUAUUCCUUGGAGCAUGCCUGUUUGAGUAUCAUGAAAUCUUCAAAGUAAAUCUUUUGUUAACUCAAUUGGUUUCUACUUUGGUAUUGGAGGUCUUUGCAGCUUCACACCUGCUCCUCUUUGUUCAUUAGCUGGAUCUCAGUGUUAUGCUUGGUUCCACUCGGCGUGAUAAGUUAUCUAUCGCUGAGGACACUGUAAAAGGUGGCCAAGGUAAAUGCAGAUGAACCGCUUCUAAUAGUCCAUUGACUUGGACAAUACUUUUAUGAUCUGAUCUCAAAUCAGGUAGCACUACCCGCUGAACUUAAGC
rnacentral:misc_RNA from 1 species